rnacentral:rRNA from 1 species
CCCUUAGAUGUUCUGGGCCGCACGCGCGCUACACUGUCGCAUUCAACGAGUUUACAACCUGGACCGAUAGGACUGGGUAAUCUUUGAAAAUGCGACGUGAUUGGGCUAGAUUAUUGUAAUUAUUAAUCUUCAACGAGGAAUUCCUAGUAAACGCAAGUCAUCAACUUGCAUUGAUUACGUCCCUGCCCUUUGUACACACCGCCCGUCGCUCCUACCGAUUGAAUGAUCCGGUGAAGUCUUCGGAUCGUCUGUUCGUGGGGUAAAACUCGCGAAUAGAUCGAGAAGUUGAUUAAACCUUAUCAUUUAGAGGAAGGAGAAGUCGUAACA